rnacentral:rRNA from 1 species
AUAAUGGGUCAGCGACUUAUAUUCUGUAGCAAGGUUAACCGAAUAGGGGAGCCGAAGGGAAACCGAGUCUUAACUGGGCGUUAAGUUGCAGGGUAUAGACCCGAAACCCGGUGAUCUAGCCAUGGGCAGGUUGAAGGUUGGGUAACACUAACUGGAGGACCGAACCGACUAAUGUUGAAAAAUUAGCGGAUGACUUGUGGCUGGGGGUGAAAGGCCAAUCAAACCGGGAGAUAGCUGGUUCUCCCCGAAAGCUAUUUAGGUAGCGCCUCGUGAAUUCAUCUCCGGGGGUAGAGCACUGUUUCGGCAAGGGGGUCAUCCCGACUUACCAACCCGAUGCAAACUGCGAAUACCGGAGAAUGUUAUCACGGGAGACACACGGCGGGUGCUAACGUCCGUCGUGAAGAGGGAAACAACCCAGACCGCCAGCUAAGGUCCCAAAGUCAUGGUUAAGUGGGAAACGAUGUGGGAAGGCCCAGACAGCCAGGAUGUUGGCUUAGAAGCAGCCAUCAUUUAAAGAAAGCGUAAUAGCUCACUGGUCGAGUCGGCCUGCGCGGAAGACGUAACGGGGCUAAACCAUGCACCGAAGCUGCGGCAGCGACGCUGAUGCGUUGUUGGGUAGGGGAGCGUUCUGUAAGCCUGUGAAGGUGUGCUGUGAGGCAUGCUGGAGGU